UACGUAGGAGGCGAGCGUUGUCCGGAUUUACUGGGCGUAAAGCGCGCGCAGGCGGCACACUAAGUACGAUGUGAAAUCUCCCUGCUCAACGGGGAGGGUGCAUAGUAAACUGGUGAGCUAGAGGACGGUAGAGGGGGGUGGAAUUGCUGGUGUAGCGGUGAAAUGCGUAGAGAUCAGCAGGAACACCGGUGGCGAAGGCGGAUCUCUGGGCCUUACCUGACGCUCAGGCGCGAAAGCUAGGGGAGCGAACUGG
rnacentral:rRNA from 1 species